UACGGAGGGUGCAAGCGUUAAUCGGAAUUACUGGGCGUAAAGCGCACGCAGGUGGCUGAGUCAGUCGAUUGUGAAAGCCCCGGGCUCAACCUGGGAAUUGCAUUCGAGACUGAAUAGCUAGGGUACGGUAGAGGGAAGUGGAAUUUCCGGUGUAGCGGUGAAAUGCGUAGAUAUCGGAAGGAACAUCAGUGGCGAAAGCGACUUCCUGGACCAGUACCGACGUUCAGGCACGAAAGCGUGGGGAGCAAACAGG
rnacentral:rRNA from 1 species